AUAGGACAGACUGAAGAAAAGGGCUUUGACAUAAGCUCCCAGCCCUUAAUCCUCGGCAGCGUGUGCCCUCCUAGCUUUGCAAAAUGCACACUAAGCUCUCCACCUCCUUAUCCGCUUCUCCCAUCUUGUCUGCCAGCCCGAAGCUAGCAGAGUAGCCGACAACUCCUUUCUUAACCUCAGCUCUUCAUCCAAUUUCCUAAUUUGAGAGUCAGCCUCUAGUUGGGCAUCAAUGGUCAGCAUCCAUCCCCCGGCAGAGGCCAGCCCACUGCAGCAGCCAUGCGUGUCCCUUCUCCCAGCAGGACACUGUGUGCAGCUCCUCAAACAAGAGCAUUAGACUAGCCAGCAUUUUCGGGGCUGGCCCGGACUCAUGCGGCGGUCCACAAGCAUCUGACAUGCGGGCCACCCCUCCCCACGCAGAGGUCAAGGGUCAACUGGGGAUUUCUCCCGAGAUGCCUCUUUCCCAAAACCCACUUCUCCGGUCUCCUGGCUGGCUCGCCAGUUGGUGGUUCCCAACCUCAGGAGCUUCCUGGGUGAACUCUGAAGCUGGACCCCAUACCUGGAGGGCAAGGAGAAACCGACAAGAGGGGCAGGCCACUCCAAAUUGGUAGGUGGCAGCUCUAAUAAGCAAAGAGACUUACAUAUGAGGCUUGUCCUGGACAGCCGCAAGCUGAGUAGCUCUCUGCACCUGCCCGCCAGAAUCUUCAAGUUUAUAUAGAAGCCGUCCCUGGGUUCAGUCCCGGCACACAGUCCAGAUGGUCUCAGCAACGCCUUACUCUCUCCAGGCUGUGUCCUUGGGGCAGCUUCCAGCUCAGGGAAGGCUAACCAAAGGGCUAGUUGAAGGGAUGAUCAGAAUGAGAGAAGACACAACACUAUUCUUGAAAGGAAUGUCAGAGCUGCGUAGGUCAUGUCCAGGAGUCUCAGAGAAACAGCCCUGUCGGAUUUUAUGCACAGCACACCUGUUCUCAAGGGACUCUGACAUCUUCUGUGAAGUCCAAGGAGUAAGGACUUAGACACAACCUGAAGUGACAAACACUUUUAAGUCCUCCCAACCACAUCCCCUUGGCUCUGGAUGGUUUAAGACUUGUCCGUGGUUCAUUCUUCCUUUAGGCAGCUUUCUUUCUGAGGAGGCACCAUAGUCCCUCCAGAUAUGACCAGCUGCUCCUGAACCCCAAUCUAGGACCCUCCUGAUAAAAAACAAAAAUGGUUCUUUUUAUUUUAUUUACUCAAUUUUCAAUGCUUGUUCUCCUUAAUGAGCAUUUUCUCCAUCCAAGUGCUCAACUAGCUUGCACUACACAUACUCAGGGGAUCAUGUUAAAAUGCAGAUUCUGAUUCA
rnacentral:lncRNA from 1 species